UGGGGAAUAUUGGACAAUGGGCGGAAGCCUGAUCCAGCAACGCCGCGUGAGGGAUGACGGCCUUCGGGUUGUAAACCUCUUUCAGUACCGACGAAGCGAAAGUGACGGUAGGUACAGAAGAAGGACCGGCCAACUACGUGCCAGCAGCCGCGGUAAUACGUAGGGUCCGAGCGUUGUCCGGAAUUAUUGGGCGUAAAGGGCUCGUAGGCGGUUUGUCGCGUCGGGAGUGAAAACCAUGGGCUUAACUCAUGGCUUGCUUUCGAUACGGGCAGACUAGAGGUAUGGAGGGGAGAAUGGAAUUCCUGGUGUAGCGGUGAAAUGCGCAGAUAUCAGGAGGAACACCGGUGGCGAAGGCGGUUCUCUGGGCAUUACCUGACGCUGAGGAGCGAAAGUGUGGGGAGCGAACAGG
rnacentral:rRNA from 1 species